rnacentral:snoRNA from 1 species
AAUCGAUGAUGAAAAUAGCCAAGUCUGAGCAUCCAAAGACCUCCAGCCUGCCUAAUGCAUGGCCCCCGUAGUUCUGAGA